AAAGUACACCUGAACUUCCUCUGUCAGUCAGUAAGUUCAGUUAACUGACAGGAGUGUUGAGUGAUGGGGGCAACUUUGGAUCACCCCAACCCUUGUUCUAUAUGUUUUCAACCAUGAGUUGCUAUACAAAAAAAGGGAAAAUCUAGGCAUGGAGAAUCACUUUGGUUAAAGGGGAGAGGUCUGUUAUUAAGUGAAAUUGGGUGAUCCAGGCAGCCAAAUAGGGAGGAAUGCAAGGAGGCAACAUUGGCUAAUUCUGUAAAAUUCAGAGAACGGAACUUGGUUUCCAGUGAGCUAUAGCCAACUUCAGAGUCGCAUAUCUUGUGGUCUACACAUUUUGGGUCUUGGACUUUCACAGUAAACCUAAAGAGCGAUGAUUGGGCAACAAGUUUGUUUAGAAAGGCUUGAGCUACCCUUAUUUGGAAUAGUGAGAAAAGUGGGGCUAAACAAAGGGUUUCAAUCGGACUUAAGCACUUCAGUGCACACCAGAAAAAUCUAAAGAAAAUAUCGCCGCAACUAUAAAAUCUAGGGAGAGAUGAGAGAUAAGUGAGAACCCUGGGGGGCAUAACUUGGACGGAUUCAAUGUUGUGAUGUGGUGUCAAGCUUGCCUGAUGGCUAACCCCCAGUACUGUCCAUUCGGUGUCUGUCUGUCCACUCUCGUGUCCUCAAGCCAGGUCCAGUGAACCUGCCCCAGCGCCAUCCCUUAUUUAAGUGCUUGUCCAGGGAGCCCUGUUGUCUCGAGCUUUAGCUGGAUCCUUGGGCAUCUCUGUGGUGGUGUGUGCAAGCCUGAGUUCAUCUCCUUAGCCUCUGUGUCGGCUUUGUUCAGUUCAUCAAGUGCCAUUCCAUUGUCUGGUACUCUAGUGCCACAGCAACCAUCCUUCCACCUCGCCGUGGUCAGACUAUCUCAACAAGUUUGUUGCCCAGAACAGAGUUGUGCCACCGUAGACCAGAGCCGUGAGCAGCCCCUGUGUUGACCGAACAACUCACACUUUCUCUUGUCGAUUCCUUGUGAGCACCAAAGUUUAGAACUCCUACCAGAAGGAGUGAAGAUUCAAGCUGAAGAGGUGACUGAAGAAGAGUUUGCUCCAGUGCCUAUUCAUCAAGUGGAUGGAGCUAUCUAACUGGUUAUUGGGUAGAAAGGUCUUGAACCUCUUCACUGCAACAAAGGCAAGCCUCAGUGCAUGCAACCCCUUCCUUGUGUUUUUAAAUUAUUUUACAUACUUUAAGUCUAGUGAAUGUGCAUUAGGUUUAUAGGAGUUGCUUGGAAACCCAUUGAUGCAUUGCCUACCUUGAUAUCCAUAUCUUUGUAGAUACUUCUGACGAAGUAUCAAAAUAUGAUUUACAAAAAUGCUUAUCCCUGCUUAGAUCUUGUGGAUAGAGGU